rnacentral:rRNA from 1 species
ACGGAAGGCAGCAGUGAGGAAUAUUGGUCAAUGGACGGAAGUCUGAACCAGCCAUGCCGCGUGAAGGAAGAAUGCCCUAUGGGUUGUAAACUUCUUUUGCCGCAGAGUAAUAAGUGGGAUGCGUCCCAUGAUGAGAGUAUGCGGCGAAUAAGCAUCGGCUAACUCCGUGCCAGCAGCCGCGGUAAUACGGAGGAUGCAAGCGUUAUCCGGAUUUAUUGGGUUUAAAGGGUGCGUAGGCGGACUGUUAAGUCAGCGGUGAAAUCCCACGGCUCAACCGUGGGGCUGCCGUUGAUACUGGCGGUCUGGAGUACGAUCGGCGCCGGCGGAAUGUGUCAUGUAGCGGUGAAAUGCAUAGAUAUGACACAGAACACCGAUCGCGAAGGCAGCUGGCGAGAACGAUACUGACGCUGAGGCACGAAGGUGCGGGGAUCGAACAGGAUUAGAUACCCUGGUA